UACGUAGGGGUCUAGCGUUGUUCGGAAUUACUGGGCGUAAAGGGCUCGUAGGCGGCCCCCUAAGUCUGCCGUGAAAUCCCUCGGCUUAACCGGGGAACUGCGUCUGAUACUGGAUGGCUUGAGUUUGGGAGAGGGAUGCGGAAUUCCUGGUGUAGCGGUGAAAUGCGUAGAUAUCUGGAGGAACACCGGUGGCGAAGGCGGCAUCCUGGACCAACACUGACGCUGAUGAGCGAAAGCCAGGGGAGCAAACGGG
rnacentral:rRNA from 1 species